CAUUACACAAAUAUGAAGGCGGGCUGGAACCUCUCGGGGUUACAGCCUUGCUGAAUUAUUCACCCUUGUCUUUUGCGUACUUCUUGUUUCCUUGGUGGGUUCGCCCACCACUAGGACAAACAUAAACCUUUUGUAAUUGCAAUCAGCGUCAGUAACAAAUUAAUAAUUACAACUUUCAACAACGGAUCUCUUGGUUCUGGCAUCGAUGAAGAACGCAGCGAAAUGCGAUAAGUAGUGUGAAUUGCAGAAUUCAGUGAAUCAUCGAAUCUUUGAACGCACAUUGCGCCCUUUGGUAUUCCAAAGGGCAUGCCUGUUCGAGCGUCAUUUGUACCCUCAAGCUUUGCUUGGUGUUGGGCGUCUUGUCUCUAGCUUUGCUGGAGACUCGCCUUAAAGUAAUUGGCAGCCGGCCUACUGGUUUCGGAGCGCAGCACAAGUCGCACUCUCUAUCAGCAAAGGUCUAGCAUCCAUUAAGCCUUUUUUUCAACUUUUGAC
rnacentral:rRNA from 1 species